ensembl:lncRNA
ACAGAGCCUAUGCCUCUUCUUGACAACUGUACUCUGAUCACAAUGAUGUGAUAUCAUACCACAUCCAGCAAAUGAAAUAAAAGAUGAGGGAAUUCAUUUUUCAUAUUUCAACUAGUCUGUUUUUUAUUGAUUCUUUUGUAGAAACUGAUGGUUUUAGCACUGUUUUUAGUUGGUGACUACAGAACGGCAAACACAAGUUGCAGAUAGAUUUCUGACUGGCAGGAAACUGGAUGUUGAAGAGUGCUAAUUCUUAUGUGACAUAGUUUGAUGCUCCAUAACAACUCACUUUGUUUAUUUUAGGAGUUGUCUCUUUACUUGAACUAUGAACCAAUGCUUAAGGGAGACAGAAAUACGUUGUUUCUAGAGUUUUGUUUUGUUUUUUAUUUGGAUUUUGUUCUUUUGAGCUUCUGAGCUGUUAGUGCAAAGCAAAGCUUACUGAUGUGAUCUUUAUACUGUAACAUUGCACUGGAUGCAAUCUGAUGGAACCUAAAAAUGUUUCAGUCAUUCUGAAAUCACUUCAGAUUUGUUGCAAUUUAAUGAAAAUAUAAACUCCUUCUAAUAACAGAAAACACUGGCGUACAUUCUGCUUAACUUGAAGUUUAAUACAUAAAAAAAAUGUACUGAAAUGUUCAGGUUGCGUCAGAUUUCAGUCCAAAACUGUGAUGGGAUGGUCCCAAAUACGAGCUGGAGGCGUGUAAAGGCUCUGAACUGAGUGAUAUGACAGAAUGACCUCCAAUAAGUGUUACACUUGCUUUUCCACUCAUCACGUUGAAAAAGAAAAUGCUGGUACUAAUGUGGUUACUUUCAUGAUGCAACAUUGCAUAUUUGUUUGUCUUUUUCUUCCCAGAUGUCAGACAUAUUGAAACUGCUUUCCAGAGGGUCAGCAUUAUAUAAAUCCUUGUAAUGUGAAUUCACCAAAAUAGGAGUGAAAAGUGAAGUUAAGGUUGAUAAUGCACCCCUGAUUCUGCGGCCAGCCACUCUUCUGACCUGAUUUUCUUCCAAGCAUCAAAAGCCUUUUAUUGCAAAUCCUUUUUUUUAUUUUGAGGAAAAACAAGUAAACACAAUGUUAAUUACUAAAUGUUAUCAAAAUAUCAACAGUGUUAGCAGUUAAGAAAUAUCAGCUUAUGAUUGAUGAUAAGUGUCAAAAUUACAGCUUAACAGUUUCUUUGUUUUAAUGUUCAUUUUAUCAGAAUGGUUCAUGUUUUCUUGUAGUGUGAAACCACUGAAUUCUGUCUUUGCUGGAAUGCUGAUGCUUAAUAUUAAGCAGGCAAAAUGAAUUCAUUGUGUCAUUCGUCAUUUCUUUGAUUUCUUUUCUAACUCUUGUUGUUGUUGCUCUCUCUGCUAUCGACAAAUUAUUCAGCGCUGUUUUUAUAAAAAAUGCAUACAGUGCGUGUACGGUCUCUGUAGUAUCAUGUCUGGUAUAUGUGUCCUAACAGCAUAAACAAACGAACCAGUGAAUUAUAGAGGAAAACAUUUGGAACAACGGGUAGAGAACAGAGGUUUACCUAGAAAAGUGAGGAUCUCUAUGGUCUCUAUAUGGUCUGUACUGUUUACUAGAAUAAACAUUUCCAUUAAUGAAUGCAUGUUUGACUUGUCAACAGUUUUGUAUGACUAUUUGUAAAGCUUAAUAUAAUAUUACACGUUUAGAAAUCUUAAAUUCUUAAUUACAUAUUUAGGGAAAAAGUGCCAAAUGUAAUUUAUUAAAUCCC